GAUGAACGCUGACAGAAUGCUUAACACAUGCAAGUCUACUUGAACUUCGGUUUGGGUGGCGGACGGGUGAGUCACGCGUAAAGAACUUGCCUCACAGAUAGGGACAACAUUUGGAAACGAAUGCUAAUACCUGAUAUUAUGAUUUUAGGGCAUCCUAGAAUUAUGAAAGCUAUAUGCACUGUGAGAGAGCUUUGCGUCCCAUUAGCUAGUUGGAGAGGUAACGGCUCACCAAGGCGAUGAUGGGUAGCCGGCCUGAGAGGGUGAUCGGCCACAAGGGGACUGAGAAACGGCCCUUACGCCUCCGGGAGGCAGCAGGGGGGAAUUUUGGACAAUGAACCAAGAGUCUGAUCCAGCAAUUCGGUUUGAACGAUGAAGUUUUUCGGAAUGUAAAGGGCUUUAAGUGGGGAAGAAAAAAAUGACGGUACCAACAGAAGAAGUGACGGCUAAAUACGUG
rnacentral:rRNA from 1 species